GAUGAACGCUGGCGGCACGCUUAACACAUGCAAGUCGAGCGGGGCACUUCGGUGCCUAGCGGCGGACGGGUGCGUAACGCGUGGGUAACCUGCCCUAUACAGGGGGAUAACGUAUAGAAAUGUACGCUAAUACCGCAUAAGCUCACAGAACCGCAUGGUUCAGUGGGAAAAACUCCGGUGGUAUAGGAUGGGCUCAUGUCUGAUUAGCUAGUUGGUGAGGUAACGGCUCACCAAGGCGACGAUCAGUAGCCGGUCUGAGAGGAUGAACGGCCACAUUGGGACUGAGAUACGGCCCAGACUCCUACGGGAGGCAGCAGUGGGGAAUAUUGGGCAAUGGACGCAAGUCUGACCCAGCAACGCCGCGUGAAGGAAGAAGGCCUUCGGGUUGUAAACUUCUUUACCAGGGACGAACACAAUGACGGUACCUGGAGAAAAAGCAACGGCUAACUACGUG
rnacentral:rRNA from 1 species